UAAAAAUACCUUUUCAUAAAAUCUUUUUUUCAAAAAUAUUGUUUGCAACUUUUGCAACCUCAUCUGCAACUCCAGGCGGCGCCAGCCGUGUUGCAACCUCUUUUGCAACUUCAUACGCAACCGAAUAUAUAUAUCGAUUCCGAAAAUGAGGUCGAAAAUGACAUUUGAAAACUGGAACUCGAAAUCAGGAUUUGUAAUUGCAUAUAUGGUUGCAUAUGGUUGUAUUCAGUUGCAUAUGGUUGCAUUCAGUUGAUUCUAUUGUAAUCUAAUGGUCCCGCCAGGGGCACACCAUACAUCUGUUGUUACUUACAGUUUUCAGUUGCAUUUAGUUGCAACUGCGGUUGCAAAAGUUGCAACUGCAGUUGCAACCUCAUUUGCAACUUUUGCAACUUACAGUUUUCAGUUGAACUAGUUGCAAUUGCAGUUGCAACUGUUGCAACUUUCCAUUUUUAUUUGCAACUUUUGCAACCUCAUUUGCAACUUUUGCAACCUCAUUUCCAUUUUUAUUUGCAACUUUUGCAACCUCAUUUGCAACUUUUACGGCUGCGCCGCCCAAGGUUGCAAAUGAGGUUGCAAAGGUUGCAAAUCGUAUUUUUGAAAAAAAAAAUUUAUGAAAAGGUAUUUUUAAAAACAAUGAAAAAGAUGGUAGUAUUUUUAAAAAAAUAAUUUUACAGAUGGGUAUUUUUAAAAAGAUCCCAAAAAAGAAUGGAACCUCCAAAAAAAAUUGUAAAAAAACUAGAGGGACAUAGAGUAUUAUUUUGAAGUGGAGCAACAAUCCGGUAAAUCAAUUUGGGCUUUUUAGAGCAUCUAUCAAAGGAUAUUUGGGGAUUAGGCUUUGUAUUUGGGUCGGGUUCGGUUUAGGAAUUGUCCACUUUGGUGAUUCGUUUGCCUGGAAUGGAAAUCUCUCCUGUUGUACACGGGGUGAUCAUUCUUUCUGUUGGCUCCUUGACUUUCUUGGCCUUCUUUUAUGCUGCAAUUUUAUCUAACUUGAUUCCACCAUCUCAAAAUCAAUUUGCAGCAGCCAUUCAAAAUGACAGGUGAUAUAUUCCUCCAGUUCAACAUUUUCUGAUUCUGUUGCAUCUAAGCUUGACCCAUUCUUUAAUUAUGUUGUUGCAUCUUGUCUUGAGUUCUGUAAUUAUGAUACCUCUUCUAAGAUUUUAGUAAAGCUAUGAUUCUACCUGAUUUUAAUAUUAGAAUGGAGGUUGAAUCUAGUAACAUUCAAGAGAUAAUCCACAGAGAGAAGAUAAGGGAAAGAAGAGAACAAAGUUGGUUACAAAAUGAUUGUCUGCUACUCUCCUACCAUUCUGCAUAAUGGUCUUUCUUGGCUACUACUCUAACAGAAAUAAACAUGCUGUUACUGAAUAAUGCUAAUCAUUUAUUUUUGCAUUAGUAGAAUCAGAAUGUGAUUACGUUUCUGAUAAACCAUGAAGACAAAUAAAAUAUGCUGAUAAAAAAGGAAAGUGAAGCAGGUUAAAUGUUGCUUUGUGAUCCUCAUUCGCUAGUAGUAAGAAAAUUCUCAGUAGAAGAGUGUUAUAACGCUUUUCAAAAAGUAUAGGACUAAUGGACUAUACUGGCAAGUAUUUGAUUGGUGUUUAUAGCUUGCGAUUUUGUUUUGUUACAGUCUUCAGCUUUCUUCGUUUUACUUAAUAAGGAUGGCAGCUCAGUUCCCUAAAUCCUUGCACUUUUCAUAUAUCGUAUGUUCUAUAAUAUUCCAAAUAAUAUCAUCAUCUUCUGCUUCUCUUUCUCUCUUCCGAAUUUUAACCUCUGCUUCUUAUUAUGGCAGAUAUUAUUGCUUCUUGGUGCCGUUGACCCUUCCGAUUAUUAUUGUUGCGGUUUAUUUUCAUUGGCUUAACAUGAAACUCUUCAAGCAUGCCUGACUCCUUCGCUAAUUUUAGUGGAAAUUUUUUGGUUCUUUAUGUGUGUGAGAAAUCCUGUGAUCCCUCUGUAAGUUGUUUGUUGGAAAAUUGGCCAUUGAAUAGCAUUGUAACAAAAUCAUAGAUAUGUUCUGGCCUUCUGGCCUCUGGGCAUAUAGAAUAUGUUAGUUUUUUUGCUGGCAAAGUAUAGUACUUCAAAUAUACUGUAACAAAAUCAUAGCCAUGUUUCGGCAUAUAGAAGUAAUAUAGUUUAGCAUGUUUUCUUAUAUCGAUAUAGUUCUUUUAAUUACUAGCUAAUAAUGCUUUUUGAUAUGCUAGUUUUUUAUAGUUACUUGGGAGCAUUUUCCUCUUUGAAUGGUGAAGAAUAUUGUUUUUCGAAACUGAUGAUCCCACCAGUGCUUUAUACUUCUAUGUUAUUGCGAUGAUGGAAGGUCAUCUUCUUUUUCCAAAGGAAAAAUGAUAAAAAGGCAUCUGUCCAAAUGCAGUAACUUUAAUAACUAUUAAAACAUAAUAAUGUUUGGUGUUCUUUCUUACAAAUUACAAUCAUAAUAACCGUUUAUUGUGCUGCAUAUAUAUAGAAUAUUUACAGGAACUAAGGUCAUAGGCCUUAGUAGGGUUCAUUCUUUGUCCGCCUUUUCUUACAGCUAUUGAUAAUAAGCCUUCAGAUGAGGUUAUAAAACCAGGAUUCUGUAUCAACCCUAAUAAGCUUGCAAAGAUUCUUAGUGCCUACAACCUCGAGAGAGUAGAAGAAAUCAAUGGAGUUAAAGGAAUUGCUAAUGCUCUAAAUGCCUCACGGGAUGAGGGUGUUAAAGUGGAUAAUUUGUCUAGGCGACAAGAGAUUAUGGCUUCAGCACAUACAGUGAGAAACCUUCUAAGAGGUUUUGAUUGUUUGUAUGGGAUGUGGCUACAGUUAUUGGCUUUGUUAUCAGUUUGGUCUUUUCCGUGGUUACAUUUUUUAAGUUGACAGUUAUAUAUGUGGUGGAAAAAAGCAUUUGGCCAAGAGUUUACAAGUUGGUCUUCUGUUGAUGCACUGAAGCUUUUGGAUUACUUUGCGACUUCUGUAAGUAUAAUUGUAGGUUCUGUUCCAGGACUGCCUCUGGCAGUGAAGCUAAGCCUUGCAUUUGCAAUGGAAAAAUUAAUGGGUCCCGGGGCAGUACCAUUUCUUUUGCAGGCUAUAUUUCAGAAUACCAGUGCAGAGGUGACUCUUAACCUCUACCGACAGAUUAACAGUAACUUGUUUCUGUUAAUUAUCUUUUCUUAACACGGAGCCAAAUUGAGUUGGGUGUUUUACAUUAUCAAAGGAUGUGUAAGAACGAGUAUGUGCUUGGAGAAGAUAUAUGUCACUUGAAAUUUGAUUGUAAUAAUCGAAUCAGCAAAAUAUAGUCGACCUUACCAACUAUUAUCUGAAGGUUGCAGUGUGCAAUUGUUCUUGGAACCUUACUGUCUGUUCCUCUAGUAUUCAGACGAAUCUAUCAAAAAGUUUAUCCCGUCGACUGCUUCGUAGAGUUUAGCAACCAAUCACAAUUCAUUCAAGAAAUAAAUUAGAGUCUAGCAUUCAGUGCAUGGUUUGCGUUGCAUCCAUGUCAGACCACUACCAGUAUCAGCAACUGCCAGGAAGUCUACAGGGGGUGUUACAGCAGAUUUUCAUGAGGUGUUCUCCAGGGUCUGCUGUUGACGGAGAUGAAGCAAAUUUUGGUGCACGAUGCGAGAAGUUCUGGCCGUUGAGGGGUGAAGUGAGUUGCGAAAAUUUGCAUAGUGUUUGAUGAAGUGGAGAAUCGCGAUGAAUUAAGUUGAUACCAAGCCAAAAGAACUUGUUUGAAGUGAAGAAUCUCCUCAUAUCUGGAAGCCGGAAGCCUUGCUUGAACAUAUGGAAACUAAUUCAAACAAAUAAACAAGUUUUCAUUUCAUUAAAAUGCAGGGUUUAAAUUUUUGUCAUAUACAGAACUUAAAUGAUUGCCAUUGCUCUAAUAUUUCUUAUUCCUUCAAGCUAAAAAAGUAUGAUAUUGUGUCUAUAUGUAACUAGUGGCCUUCAGAUGCAGUAACAAAGUUCUGGUUCACUUUCAGGUCCUUGUAAAAUGUAUAGGGGGUGUUUGGUUAGCUUUUUUUACCUCUUAUAAGGUGAUACCACAAUAACUGUCUUAAAAAGAGUAUGAUAUCUUAUAAUUUAUAUAUAGUAUGUAUUAUCACUACAAGUCUGCAUAAAAUUUACACUUCCGAAGGAUAUUGCAAUAACAGGACAAGAACCAUUUUUAGAGUUGACAACUUUUUUCCUCUUCAAAUCAAGAGAACAGCGACAAGUUCAUGACUCGACAGAUAUGUCUGCAGUCCUCUCUUCAGUUAUUUUCCUCGGAGAUGCUUUCUGUUUCUCAGUUCCCGGUUUAAACAGAUCCUUGGGUUUGCAAUUGCCAUUAUCAUUCCGCCUAGGAUUCUUGUUUCUAAUGUUGUUGGCAGUAUUAGUACCUUCUCUGACAGUGCCAAGGCUGCGUCGAUUUCCACGGGGACAUGAUCCCUUUUCGACUGAUGACUUGACAGCAUCCCCACAACUUCUUCUCCGGGUUAAGUUUGGUGAUUUAGGACGGGUUAAGUUUGGUGAUUUAGGACGCGUCACUGGCAACUGGAAUCAAACGAACUACUUAGUGAAAUUCUGUAUGAGAUAAAUGAUAAAUGUGUAGGUAUGACAUGAAAAACGGAAUAAGCUGGGAUGACUUAAUUGCUAAAGUAUAGAAAGGGGCUAUGCAAUGCCCAUUCAUCUGCGAAAAUAUUCGGAUGUAUCACAAGCUUAUUCGAUGAAUAAUAAACAAUAUAGAGCUUUCACAUUUAAUGAACUGGUCUUUCUUCGGAAUUAUAGUGUGCAUGUUUGGCUGGGUUUUCUAGCAAGUGAGAAUUAACUUAUUUGUACCGUUUGUAUAUAACUCAUAAGUUACUUUCUGACUUGAUAAGUUGAAAUCCGAGAAGUUGAAAAUUCUAAAAAAAAAUUGACUUAUUUUGAUUUUUGAAGUUUGAUUUUAUACAUAUAUUAUCACUUUAAAAGAUAAUUUGAAAUAUUUUAUUAUUAUAUUAUACAAGUUUUAUACCUAAUAAGUUGUAAAUUAAAAUAAAUCUAUCCAAACAAAAAAUUAAAAUUUACUUCUCGCACUUAUAAGCAAUACGUAACUUCUUUUUAAACUAACCCAAACGGCCCUAUAAUAUAUAAAUGUAUCAUAAUAGAGAAUACAAAUAUAUUUCCUCUAUAGGGUGCUGAGGCACAGUGUCAGGUGAACGUCCCUGCCACCUGUUACUCUCUAUAUAAGCAACACAAGCAUUUAUCACUUGUUAUCAAUUGCAAGCAUGUAUAAAUUCAAACAUAUACAUAUAGGGAGAGAAAACUGCAUAAUCUUUUAAAGGUUACACAAUGUAUAUUCAUCAUUUGUAAGAGUUUACUUUCAGCCUUUACUUGUACAACACACUGUUGAAUGUAGUUUAAAAUCCAAUUAGCACCGCCUUCUAGUACCUUAAGCUUUUGGGAGAGUUGAUUACUAAACACACACAAUUCUCAUACCAACUCAUCACUACUAUCUCAUAGUAACUACACAUAAGACAAGAUGAUAGUCCUUAGUGAGGUUAAUUCGACUCAACUGCAGAAAACAAUCAUCUACAGUUUAAAUAAGUAUCCAGGGAAGACAUAAAAAAUACCCCUCCUAUUCCAUCUUUAGGUGCACAAGAAACACCAAGCGAGAGAUCUAUAUUGCAGUUGAAUACAUUAUAUGUAUGCACCGCGUGUAUGUAUAUCUCUCUGUGUGUGUGUGUGUGUGUGUGUGUGUGUAACAGGGCAUAUGCUUUGUAUAUGUUAAUUUUUUCUUUUAAGAAGCGACCAGCAGUUUAAUUUAUUUAAGAAAGCACCAAACUCAAACAAAAAGAAUUGCGUAAAAGAAGUACCUUCUUUGGCUCAACCUUUGGGGGAGGACCUUCACGAUAAAAGCUAGGAACUGGUUUUGCUUUAACAACCAUGUUCUGUCGGAGCUGCUUGAUAGCUGCUGCUUGCUCCUCCUAUUUUUACCGUAUUGAAUGAAGAAACAAGUUAAGAUUGGGUUGCUAAUAUAUAUCAUGAUUCCAUUACUAUACCAUGUCUAAUCUUUCAGAUGGUAAAAAUGUACCUUCAUUCUUGCUUCAUAUUCCUUCUUUUCUGCUUCCAGAGCUUUGUGUUUUUCCUCCAACUUUUUGUAGAACUAAAAAGAAAAGAGUGAAUCAGGAAUGAGGAGAAAAAUAUGCCCUGCAAACUAAACCAAAAGAGCAGGGGACACAAAUGAAACAGAAUUUACAAAACGAAAAAAUAUUGAAGUUACCUCUUGACGUUUUGCGGCACGUUCAGCAGAUGAGAAUGUGGGUGCUACAGGGACGGUCACCGAUCUGACUGUCCGAACAGAGGCUGCAGCACUAAGCUUCGCUAAGGAUAUCAAAACAAAGAUAUAUAAAAAAUAAUUAUGAAAUUUAAGAGAGAAAUGAAUAUAAUGGAGAAAUAUGUCAAUUGAAAAGGAUACGAGGAAGCCAGCGACCAAUUAUCCUCAUCAUCGUGAAAUUUUCUAUGAUAGGGUUGUUGUGGCUUCUUUGCACUUGAACGAGAAGGCAACUAAUAAAACAUUAAUAAUCCCACGGUCAGCAUCCAUAAAUCCAGACAGUAAUAUGAACUCAGUGUCAAGAUUUCCUUAUAAAUCUUUUUACUACUCAAUGAUGUUCAUUUACCACAUCUAUUAUGGUAGACAUCAUUCUACUACGAUACAAUCCAGUUUCUAGUUGAAUUUACUAUUGCAUAUAUGACUAGAUAUUUGUGCUUCACAAUUAUGCAUAAGCAUUCACAUAGUCUCCGUUUCCUUUCUUUUUCGUUUCCAUUUAGAGUUAACAACAGAAAAAACAAUAAAUUAUUAAACGUGGCCAGUGAAAUCAAAGAGGAGUUUACUUUCAAAAACUCAGAGAAAUAUUAGAAGAGUUUAAGGCAAACCUCUAAAUGUUCUGGAUCCUUGGGGGAGUGAAAAUCUUUUAUGCUUGGUGAAAAAUUGGCAUCAGAAUCAGCAGUUGAAAUUGAGGCUUGUUUCUCAGUCUUAUCACUAGAAGAAUGAGAAACCUUGGAAUCUGAUGGGAAAUUGUCAGCAGCUAAAGAACCUGAGACAGGUCUGAUUGGUGAGGUGGAAGUCUUUUCACUUGACUUCUGGAUUUCAGGUUUCUGGGAUUUCUCCUCAGGAGUACCAACCUCACUGUUUAUGCUUUUGAUACCUAAUAAAUCUUGCUUCUCCUGACCUUCAUCAAGCAAAUCUUCAGCAGUAUGAUUCUCUACCACAGUGCUCUCAGUUUCACCACUUUCACUUGUAACUUGGGGAGCUGUAUCAUGUGAGAUACCAUUUGACUUGACGGUGUGACCAUGAGGUUUUUUAUCGAUACGGAUACCUGUAAUGUCCUUCCCCAUCACCCUGCCUAAGAAAAAUAAAGGUGAUACAAUUCUUUAGUCAGAAAUAUGUUAUCAAGCUUAUCUUUUUCUAAAAAGAGCAUGCAAAAAAGACUUAAAAGUCCAUAACCAUUGAUGUCUCCAGGAAAUAGGUUGAUUAUAUUAAAUUUGUACAUAAAGACAAGUACAUCACUUGGCGUUUGUGUGAGUAUUAUAUAUACAGGUUGAUGAAAACCCAUAGGCCGUAACUGAAUCACUGUCUAAAAUUUUAUCCAUACGAAGGUGCCAGAGUCAUGUUUCAUACAGAGCAUAAGAUUGAGUUUGAGGACAGAGCUUAAUUCAAAGUUUAAAACUAGUCAAGUUUUUACUUAUUGUGCCAGAGGCGGACUCAAGUGUUGAUAAAACCGAGUUUUGCAAGCCUUUCGAUCUACUGCUAAAAAAUUCAAGUUUAAUUUUGGACCUGCCCACUAAGAUAAGUAAUACUAUUCAAACACACCACUGAGCUUGCCAAAAUAAGCUAAGUUUGUAUUGAGCUGGUACAGAACUCAGAUCGACCCGAAUUGAUUAUCAAACUAAUAUCCCAAAAACAGUUUGUUGGAAAAAAGCUCGGAGCCAGAUGAGUUGGAAUCACAGCCUCCCGUUUGAAUGUAUAAUGAGUAAGAGUAGAUCAUAUAUAAUGUGAACAGCAUCUAAUGGCAUAAAAAAACAGAAUCUCAAUUGUAAGUUUGCUGUCAUUCUCAAGAUGUAAACACACAUGUCUAAAUUAUAUGCCACACAAUAAUAAAAUGAGGUUGAUGGGUUAAGCAAAUUCCCAACUGAAUACGCAUGCUCAAACCCCAACUCACAGAUACACAAUCACCCCUUGUUCAUAAAUCAUAAUAACAAAAAAAAAAAACUCAAUUUUUCCUCAGCACAAUCAUAUAAAAAUUAAAACUUCGAAGCAAAAAACAAGAAAAUCAACCACAACAAGAAGAAAAUUAGUAUUAAAAAAAAACCCAGAUGAAAACAAGAGCAAGAAAAGGUGUAACAUAAAGAAGAUUGAAUCUUGGAGAGCAGAAAUGAAGGAACAGGCAGCAGAGAUGAAGCAAGAUGAAAAGAAAAGAGGGGUUUCUUACAGUAAGCUCCUACAGCUGCCGCUGUUGUUUCCGAUCUGAUGUACACGAGGAGAGAAUUAUAUAUAGGAAUAGAAAAACCCCAAAUAACAACAACGUGAACCCACCUCUCCCUCUCUCCCUCUCUCUCUUUUUCUCUCUCGCUGGUGGUUUAAAUUGAUGUCUGGUUAGUCACCAAUCUCGAUACCGUUAAUCUCGCAGGUAACUAGUACGAGUAAUAUAUACUAGUACUAGCCGGUACACCCAAUUUAUACGUACACACUCGCACAAUACAUACACGUUUUAUGUAAUGCUUUUUUCUGUCGCUAACGGACAUUUCCUACGAGCUGACGGCGUAGGAAAUUUAAUACUCCCUCCGUUUCAAUUUACAUGUCCACUUUGAAGAAAUUUUUUUGUUUCAAAUUACUUGUCCACUUCAACUUUCAAUGCAAAAUCAUAUUUCCAAAGUCAAUUCUACACCACAUAUCUCUUAUUUAUAUUUCCUAGAUCAAUCUCACUCCACAUAUUUUGAUCAUUUAAUGCAAUUAAUUUGUGUACAUCCACUUUUCUUAAACUGUGUGAUUUUUUUAAAGUGGACAUCUAAUUUGAAACGGAGGUAGUAAGUGAAAAUGAAGUAAAAUUAUGUAACUCAGAUACUUAAAGAAAAUUCUACACUGACAAGUGUAUCUUCUUGCUUUAGCUUUUAUUUAUCAUCUAAAAUUCAAAACCG
rnacentral:lncRNA from 1 species